rnacentral:rRNA from 1 species
AUUGAACGCUGGCGGUAUGCCUUACACAUGCAAGUCGAACGGUAGAGGGGCAACCCUUGAGAGUGGCGAACGGGUGAGUAAUACAUCGGAACGUGCCCAGUCGUGGGGGAUAACGUAGCGAAAGCUACGCUAAUACCGCAUACGACCUGAGGGUGAAAGCGGGGGAUCGCAAGACCUCGUGCGAUUGGAGCGGCCGAUGGCAGAUUAGGUAGUUGGUGGGGUAAAGGCCUACCAAGCCUGCGAUCUGUAGCUGGUCUGAGAGGACGACCAGCCAAACUGGGACUGGGACACGGCCCAGACGCCUACGGGAGGCAGCAGUGGGGAAUUUUGGACAAUGGGCGCAAGCCUGAUCCAGCCAUACCGCGUGCGGGAAGAAGGCCUUCGGGUUGUAAACCGCUUUUGUCAGGGAAGAAAUCUUCUGGGCUAAUACCUCGGGAGGAUGACGGUACCUGAAGAAUAAGCACCGGCUAACUACGUGCCAGCCGCCGCGGUAAAAC